CUCCAAAUUUCAGUUUGAUUUCAAAGACAAAAGACUGCAUCACAACAGUUUACAAAUAACAUGUAACGAAAAAACUCGUUUUUAUGAACAUUUUCUAUUUUUUAAUCUGUACGUUAUGGUAAUGCUGAUUCUCCCAAACCGGAUUACAGUAUUUAAAAAAAAAAAUAUCCCCUAAAAUGGUUAUAGUUUGACAUUGUUGUAUUCCUAUAUAUGUAGC
rnacentral:lncRNA from 1 species